rnacentral:rRNA from 1 species
UACGGAAGGGGCAAGCGUUGUUCGAGAUCAUUGGGCGUAAAGGGCGCGUAGGUGGUUCUGUAUGUCUACCGUGAAAGCGUACGGCUCAACCGUAUUUUGUCGGUAGAAACUGCAGGACUUGAGGCUGGGAGGGGCUGGUGGAAUUCCCUGUGUAGCGGUGAAAUGCGUAGAGAUCGUGAGGAAGACCCGUGGCGAAGGCGGAUCUCUGGACGGCUAACUGACGCUGAGGCGCGAAGGCCAGGGGAGCAAACGGG